GGUUGGAUAGCUUAGUGGUUAGAGCUCAGGUCUUGUGACCUGAGAGUCCCGGGAUCGAAUCUCGCCAGAGGCA
rnacentral:tRNA from 1 species